UGUACGUACAAGCAGUGGGAGCACCUUCGUGGUGUGACUGCGUACCUUUUGUAUAAUGGGUCAGCGACUUAUAUUUUGUAGCAAGGUUAACCGAAUAGGGGAGCCGUAGGGAAACCGAGUCUUAACUGGGCGAAUAGUUGCAAGGUAUAGACCCGAAACCCGGUGAUCUAGCCAUGGGCAGGUUGAAGGUUGGGUAACACUAACUGGAGG
rnacentral:rRNA from 1 species